rnacentral:rRNA from 1 species
UACAGAGGGUGCGAGCGUUAAUCGGAAUUACUGGGCGUAAAGCGUGCGCAGACGGUCAUGUAAGUCGGGUGUGAAAGCCCCGGGCUCAACCUGGGAAUUGCAUUCGAGACUGCAUGGCUAGAGUGUGGGAGAGGAAAGUGGAAUUCCUGGUGUAGCGGUGAAAUGCGUAGAUAUCAGGAGGAACACCGGUGGUGUAAACGCUUUCUGGACCGAUAAACUGACGCUGGAGGCAACGGAAAGCGUCGGGUAGCAAACAGGA